UUUGUCUUUCCACCUUCACUAGAAGCUCCUUUAUCUGAUUCUAAGAGGAGUUAGGGGGGCAAAUUGAAAACGCAUUCAAUUACAACAAACACGUUUUUUUUUUUUCUCACAAGCCACUGAAAAAUUUUGCUCCUUUUGCCCCUAAACUUUAAUAGAGGUCGUUGUUUAUCGCAAUUCUUCACCCCAAUGGAAGAAUCAAGUGAAUUGCAAUAAGAAGAAAAUAAAGUCUCCAAUGAGAAAAAUAAGAAAAGAAAGCUGAAAACACCAGCCCAGCUUAAAGCCUUGGAGGAUUUUUAUAAUGAGCACGAAUACCCCACAGAGGAAAUGAAAUUAGUACUUGCUGAGGAGUUAGGAUUGACAGAAAAGCAAAUAUCUGGAUGGUUUUGCCAUAGAAGGUUAGAAGAUUGGUGAAAGAUGAAGUCGUUGCUAAUGGGAGACAAGAUCGUUCAAGUGGUGUCAUCCAAGAUCGUGACAGUGGACUUGGGCAAGAUUCAUGCGGAAGUAGUAAGCAUGCUGAUCAUAGGUAUCCGGAUCCGAAGGAGGUUGAGAGCCAUGGCCUCUACAAUAUGAGACAAUUUGUUACAUUAGGUGGUCUAUGUGACACUAAAAUUAUCAAUAAUAUACCUCAUUAAUGCA